UACGUAGGGUGCAAGCGUUAAUCGGAAUUACUGGGCGUAAAGCGUGCGCAGGCGGUUCGUUGUGUCGGUGGUGAAAGCCCCGGGCUCAACCUGGGAAUGGCCAUGGAAACUGGCGAACUGGAGUGUGGCAGAGGGGGGUGGAAUUCCGCGUGUAGCAGUGAAAUGCGUAGAGAUGCGGAGGAACACCGGAUGGCGAAGGCAGCCCCCUGGGCUAGCACUGACGCUCAGGCACGAAAGCGUGGGGAGCAAACAGG
rnacentral:rRNA from 1 species